GCAGCUGUGCUUGUCCAUUCACCUUCAAAAUUGGCAAAGGAGUACCAAGAGAUGCCAGAUAUACCUGGUGCCAAAUGUGUCUCCUGCAGAUGACCGCUUCCGAAAUGGUGACACUUCCUUGCCUGCUAAUUCAUUGGUAUGAGAAGCCUAAAGUGACAGGCAGUCAUAACUUACAGUCUAAUAGAACAUUUGCUGUGUCUUCUGGCGGAAGAAUUCCACUCUUAGAACGAGGACUCCGAGAUCUGCAGAGUAUAGUUUUUAAAAUGGCCACUUUCUUCUCAUACAAGGUGACGACUAUAAGCAUCACUAAAGCUCUGCCCAGUGUGGGGAUUUGCUCUCACCCCUGCCUUUCUGGGAUAUUCCUGAGUGAGGCAGUAAUGCAGCCACAGUCCAUUUUCAGCUUGUAUCCACAUAUUGAGCUGUCUGGCCUAUAAGCGAAGCUAGACCUUUUUCUCCUCUGCUGGUGGGCCACAAAGGACCUCCCUGCAAUGUGGCCAUACAUAAAUGAUUUCACAUCAUCAUUGACUGCAACCCUGUGAGAUUA
rnacentral:lncRNA from 1 species